rnacentral:rRNA from 1 species
AACGAACGCUGGCGGCAGGCCUAACACAUGCAAGUCGAGCGGACCUUUCGGGGUCAGCGGCGGACGGGUGAGUAACGCGUGGGAAUAUGCCCUUUUCUACGGAAAAGUCCUGGAAAAUGGGGGGUAAACCCGUUAAGCCCCUUUGGGGGAAAGAUUUAUCGGGGAAGGAUUAGCCGGCGUUGGAUUAGGUAGUUGGUGGGGUAAUGGCCUACCAAGCCGACGAUCCAUAGCUGGUUUGAGAGGAUGAGCAGCCACACUGGGACUGAGACACGGCCCAGACUCCUACGGGAGGCAGCAGUGGGGAAUCUUAGACAAUGGGGGCAACCCUGAUCUAGCCAUGCCGCGUGAGUGAUGAAGGCCUUAGGGUUGUAAAGCUCUUUCAGCUGGGAAGAUAAUGACGGUACCAGCAGAAGAAGCCCCGGCUAACUCCGUG